AGGCUACGACUGGUGGAGGGGUAUCGGGGAGUGAAGUAAUCGGAGGCGGGGUCGCAGGUGCCACGAUCGGUGCAGGAGUGGGAGGAGAAUUUUCAACAGGUGGAGGACUGUCAGGGAGUGAACUCAUCGGAGGCGGAGCCGCAUCCACAACCGGUGCAGGAGUGGGAGGAGAAUUUUCAACAGGUGGAGGGCUGUCAGGGAGUGAACUCAUCGGAGGCGGAGCCGCAUUCACAACCGGUGCAGGAGUGGGAGGAGAAUUUUCAACAGGUGGAGGGCUGUCGGGAGAUGAAGUAACAACCACCGGUGCCGGAGUGGGAGGAGAAUUAAUUUCCAUUGGCGGAGGACUAUCCGGAAUUGACACCGUCGG
rnacentral:lncRNA from 1 species